UAGUCAUAUGCUUGUCUCAAAGAUUUAACCAUGCAUGUCUAAGUAUAAACAAUUCUAUACUGUGAAACUGCGAAUGGCUCAUUAAAUCAGUUAUAGUUUAUUUGAUAAUAUCUACUACUCGGAUAACCGUGGUAAUUCUAGAGCUAAUACAUGCGUAAAAAGCCCCGACUUCUGGAAGGGGUGUAUUUAUUAGAUAAAAACCAUCCUCCUCGGAGUUUGGUGAUUCAUAAUAACUUCUCGAAUCGCACGGCCUUGUGCUGGCGAUGCUUCAUUCAAAUAUCUGCCCUAUCAACUGUCGAUGGUAGGAUAGAGGCCUACCAUGGUUGCAACGGGUAACGGGGAAUAAGGGUUCGAUUCCGGAGAGGGAGCCUGAGAAACGGCUACCACUUCUACGGAGGGCAGCAGGCGCGCAAAUUACCCAAUCCUGACUCAGGGAGGUAGUGACGAAUAAUAACGAUACGUGACUUCGGUCUAGUAAUUGGAAUGAGUACAAUUUAAACCCCUUAAUGAAUUCCAUU
rnacentral:rRNA from 1 species